rnacentral:rRNA from 1 species
CCUACGGGAGGCAGCAGUGGGGAAUAUUGCACAAUGGGGGAAACCCUGAUGCAGCGACGCCGCGUGAGUGAAGAAGUAUCUCGGUACGUAAAGCUCUAUCAGCAGGGAAGAAAAUGACGGUACCUGACUAAGAAGCCCCGGCUAACUACGUGCCAGCAGCCGCGGUAAUACGGAGGGGGCAAGCGUUAUCCGGAUUUACUGGGUGGAAAGGGAGCGUAGACGGCAGCACAAGUCUGGAGUGAAAUCCCGGGGCUUAACCCCGGAACUGCUUUGGAAACUGUGCGGCUGGAGUGCAGGAGGGGUAAGCGGAAUUCCUAGUGCAGCGGUGAAAUGCGUAGAUAUUAGGAGGAACACCGGUGGCGAAGGCGGCUUACUGGUCUGUAACUGACGCUGAGGCGCGAAAGCGUGGGGAGCAAACAGGAUUAGAUACCCUGGUAGUC